rnacentral:rRNA from 1 species
UUCGCAAUGCCCGAAAGGGUGACGAUGCGACGCCGCGUGAGCGAAGAAGGCCCUAGGGUUGUAAAGCUCUGUCGAGGGUUAUGAAAUAUAGAUGGGUUAAUACCCCAUUUAUUUGACAAAAGCCCAAAAGGAAGCCACGGCUAACUCUGUGCCAGCAGCCGCGGUAAUACAGAGGUGGCGAGCGUUGUUCGGUAUUAUUGGGCGUAAAGAGCACGUAGGUGGUUUUGUAAGUCAGGUGUGAAAGCCUUCUGUUCAAAGGAAGAACGGCAUCUGAAACUGCAGAUCUUGAGUGUAGGAGGGGAGAGUGGAACUUCUGGUGGAGCGGUGAAAUGCGUAGAUAUCAGAAGGAACGUCGGCGGCGAAAGCGACUCUCUGGCCUAUUACUGACACUGAGUGUGCGAAAGUUAGGGGAGCAAACGGGAUUAGAUACCCCGGUAGUCCUAACCGUAGACGAUGGGCACUAAGUAGAGGGGUUUU